rnacentral:hammerhead_ribozyme from 1 species
GUACCGCUGAAGAGUCGCAGACCGGUGAGAGGAAACAACUGUCCAGUAC